CACACAUAUAUAUAUACAUAGACACACACACACACAUAUGUAUAUAUGUAGAUACAUAAAUAUAUUAUUGUCCAGCAGUAUAUUCCUGGUUAUGGCAUAUAAAUGGUCAGUAUGUGACCAAUGGUUUCGUGCAGACUAUUGCACCUCUCAAUUGCUGCUGGUAACAUGUCACCCACUACAAUCUGUCUCAUGUUUGACUUUGACAGCUAAACUAGUAACACCACCAAUUUUGCUUGGUGAGGAGAGUGAUUAUUUGACUAUUAAUUAAAAACCAU